rnacentral:rRNA from 1 species
UACGUAGGUGGCAAGCGUUGUCCGGAUUUACUGGGCGUAAAGAGCGCGCAGGCGGUCGUGCAAGUCGCGUGUGAAAGCCCCCGGCUCAACUGGGGAGGGUCACGCGAUACUGCUCGACUUGAAGGCAGGAGAGGGAAGCAGAAUUCCCGGUGUAGUGGUGAAAUGCGUAGAUAUCGGGAGGAAUACCAGUGGCGAAGGCGGCUUCCUGGCCUGUUCUUGACGCUGAGGCGCGAAAGCUAGGGUAGCAAACGGG